AUUGAACGCUGGCGGCAUGCCUUACACAUGCAAGUCGAACGGCAGCACGGGUGCUUGCACCUGGUGGCGAGUGGCGAACGGGUGAGUAAUGCAUCGGAACGUACCCGGAAGUGGGGAUAACGCAGCGAAAGUUACGCUAAUACCGCAUAUUCUGUGAGCAGGAAAGCGGGGGAUCGCAAGACCUCGCGCUUCCGGAGCGGCCGAUGUCGGAUUAGCUAGUUGGCGGGGUAAAAGCCCACCAAGGCGACGAUCCGUAGCGGGUCUGAGAGGAUGAUCCGCCACACUGGGACUGAGACACGGCCCCAGACUCCUACGGGAGGCAGCAGUGGGGAAUUUUGGACAAUGGGCGCAAGCCUGAUCCAGCCAUGCCGCGUGAAUGAAGAAGGCCUCGGGUUGUAAAGCUCUUUCGGCCGGGAAGAAAAUCGCAUCUCCUAAUACGGGGUGUGGAUGACGGUACCGGCAUAAGAAGCACCAGCUAACUACGUGCCAGCAGCCGCGGUAAUACGUAGGGUGCGAGCGUUAAUCGGAAUUACUGGGCGUAAAAGCGUGCGCAGGCGGUUUCGUAAGACAGACGUGAAAUCCCCGGGCUCGACCUGGGAACUGCGUUUGUGACUGCGAGGCUANAGUAUGGCAGAGGGGGGAUGGAAUUCCACGUGUAGCAGUGAAAAUGCGUAGAGAUGUGGAGGAACACGAUGGCGAAGGCAGCCCCUGGGCCAAUACUGNCGCUCAUGCACGAAAGCGU
rnacentral:rRNA from 1 species